UGGAUUCGGAGCCGGAGGAAGGGGUGGACGUGGCCAAAGAUGAAGCUGCUCUCAAGGUCAUCCGAGAGCAGCUCCAAUGCAGAGAUAAGGAUGAGGGGCAGCAGCUCCUGUUCCUUCAGGCCAUCUACCCCGCCUGUCUGGCUGCACGGGAGAGAGGGGAGGACACGCUGGAGCCGCGCUGCUGCAAGGCGGCUGUGGUGAAGAGGAUCGUGCACCAUGAAACCUGCCCUGGAGCCAGCCCUAGAGACCCACCUCUUGCGAGCUGCCCUUCACUCCGUCUUCACCCUGGGCACGGAGAAGGAC